rnacentral:rRNA from 1 species
CCUACGGGAGGCAGCAGUGGGGAAUAUUGGACAAUGGGGGCAACCCUGAUCCAGCCAUACCGCGUGUGUGAAGAAGGCCUUCGGGUUGUAAAGCACUUUCAGCGAGGAGGAAAGGUUGAUGGUUAAUACCCAUCAGCUGUGACGUUACUCGCAGAAGAAGCACCGGCUAACUCCGUGCCAGCAGCCGCGGUAAU